GAUGGUUCAACCCCCUCCCCUACUA
rnacentral:tRNA from 2 species